rnacentral:rRNA from 1 species
UACGGGGGGAGCAAGCGUUGUUCGGAUUUACUGGGCGUAAAGGGCGCGUAGGCGGCGCAACAAGUCACUUGUGAAAUCUCCGGGCUUAACCCGGAGCGGUCAAGUGAUACUGUCGUGCUAGAGUGCGGAAGGGGCUACUGGAAUUCUCGGUGUAGCGGUGGAAAUGCGCAGAUAUCAGGAGGAACACCGGUGGCGAAGGCGGGUCUCUGGGCCGAUACUGACGCUGAGGAGCGAAAGCGUGGGGAGCGAACAGG